ACGGGUGAGUAACACGUAGGUAACCUACCCUUCAGUGGGGGACAACAGAGGGAAACUUCUGCUAAUACCGCAUACGAUCACGGACUGGGAUGUUCGUGGUGAAAGGAUUUAUUCGCUGAGGGAUGGGCCUGCGGCCUAUCAGGUAGUUGGUGGGGUAAUGGCCUACCAAGCCUGCGACGGGUAGCCGGACUGAGAGGUCGAUCGGCCACACUGGAACUGAGACACGGUCCAGACUCCUACGGGAGGCAGCAGUGGGGAAUAUUGCACAAUGGGGGAAACCCUGAUGCAGCGACGCCGCGUGGAGGAUGACGGCCUUCGGGUUGUAAACUCCCUUUGUCGGGGACAAUGGUGAUGGUACCCGACGAAUAAGCCACGGCUAACUCUGUGCCAGCAGCCGCGGUAAGACAGAGGUGGCGAGCGUUGUUCGGAAUUACUGGGCUUAAAGGGCGCGUAGGCGGUGGUGUAAGUCUAGGGUGGAAUGCUACAGCUCAACUGUAGAGCUGCCUUGGAAACUGCAUUACUUGAGUCGGUGAGGGGAAGGUGGAAUUCCAGGU
rnacentral:rRNA from 1 species